CUUUGUUAUAAAAAAAUGAAUAUUAUUCUAAUGAAAUGAAACUAAAGUUUUGAAUUAAAUAAAAAAAGACAUUAUAAUUAUGCUAUUUUCCAAAAUUAAAUUUUAUUCUUACUUGCCAAUGUCAUUGACAACUUGCCAAUACUAGUCACAUUAAUAAAUUAAUUUUGUGAUAAUCAAACUGCAUGGAAGGAGCCACCGAAUUCCCAUCCUAGUCCCACGAAGCUGUGUGUUUUUCAACCCACCUAGGGAUGGUAGUCUUUAAGAAAGAACCCUUUAUUAUUUAGUUUUUAAAUUCAAAAUAUCAAUGCAUUGGAUUUGAGAAGUUAGGCUUUAAUAGUGAAGAGAGAAAAGAUAAAAAAAAGAUAGUGAAGAGAAGGACCCUGAAGUGAGAUUACCUUUUUGUGGAUCCAGAUGCCUCAAGAGACUUUCAUAUGAGAUAUUUUUGAAUGUAAUAAGAUAUUAUAACAUGUACAUGGAAAUGAAAUAACUGAUCAGAUGAAAAUUUGUGAUUUUACCAAGGGAAGUUAUUGUAGCGGAAGAUUUAUAUUACAUGCUUAAGUAAACCAUGAUUAAAGGUAUCUUUAGAUCAGGAGAGUUGUCUUAGAUUUGUUGGAUCACUGGAAGGUGGAGCAAAGUGUAAAGCAUGUAGUUCCAAAAAAUUUCAAGACAAAGAGCAAAAGGUUCUCAAAUUUAAGUGCAAACUUCUAAAAUAUUGCUUCUUGUUAUGAAUGUGGGGGUUAGCCUUUAUAGAGAGGGAACUCAACUAUCGAAGUAAAUCCGAGCAUAUCCUUUCCUGAGAUCACCGAGUUCGUGUUUGUUUUUGGAAUCUUUCGCGUUUUAAACUCAUUAAAAUGUUGAGUUUCAAGGGGAUGGAAAUGGCAAUUUACCAAUAGGAUCAACACUUGAAAAUUAGGCACCCUCUCAUCUAUCUUCACCCGUCUUCAUCCGCAAUUAUAUAAAUUCCAAAAGUGGUGGUGGCGGUGGCGGUGGUGAACAGUUGUGGUGGAGGUGAUGCAUGGUAGAGGUGACGAUGGUAGAUGUGGUGAGGUAAUUUAAAUAUAUGCAGGCUUUGACCAAAUAAGUCGCUUUUUUAGACUUGAUUCGGUCAGUUUUUGGUUUGGGCUUGAGCCCGGCUGAAGCAAAUAUUAAAAAAGAACAGAGUAAUGCUAUAUGGUACGAGAGAUUAUGUACGACUAGUGCACGAGUGUAAUUUAGUGGCGGUUUUAAACCGCCACAAAAUUACAACUGUUCAAAAAAAAAAACAAAGCUACGGUUUCUGGCGGUUUAAAACCGCCACAAAAUUACAACUGUCAAAAUAAAAAGAAAAGCUACGGUUUCUGGCGGUUUAAAACCGCCAGAAAUUGCUUCGUGCACCACGCACGAGGCCCAAGGUCGUGCCCACAGCAUUUUCCAAAAGAACAUCCUACUAGCCCAAGUUGAAUGCGAAUGCGAAAUGAGUGGUGUUUGAGUUGAAAAUGAACGGGUGGAGAAUGUUGAAAUAAAAUAUCUGAAGUGCAAUCAAUUUCAAUAACCUGUCUCAUCCUACUAGCCUAGGUGUGCAGUAAGUAACCUAUGUUUUGGCUACAACAUACAACCUAUGUGCUAUUUAUUUUAAUUUACAGUAAAGAACUUGAAUAUAAUUAAUUGAAAAUAUGGUGCCUCUCAAAUUGAAAGACCCAGUUCUGAAAAAAUCUACAUGAUACCCUCCAUAAGCCACCCCCAUGAACUUAGAGCCAUGUGGAUUGCAACACAGCACACAAUUUGAUAUCUAGGAGGGUUACACGAUUAUAAUAAUUAGGCCGCUUAACAAAUGUUUUAAAUUGUUGUUCAGUUAUAUCAGCAAAACCCGGAUAACUCACACCCUUUGGGGGGAGGGUUACAACAAGAUUUUGCUUCAACACAUUGAACCUGUUUUCUUCCUCCUGUUCGGUAGGGUAUUCUUUAUCAUACGCAUCGCGCCAGAUUUUGAAAUCCUAUUCCUUCUCAGUUAAGCCCAAACUGCUUUUUUGACAAAACAAAAGCCCAUAAGAGAUAAUAAUAUAUCAAUAUGUAGUUUUUUUUUUAAAAGGUAACUAACUUAAAGUUAGAUGAAACAUUUAUCAAACAUAAUUUUAGAUUCAAAAACAUGCAAAUAGGGGAGAAAAUAGAUACAAAACGUAGUGUUUAAAUAAACACACUUGCCACAUAUUGAAGAAUAGCUUUUUAAACGGUUUAUUAGCGGGGAUUCCAAACCGCCACUAAUUGUGAUUUUUUUUCCAAAAAACAUAGAUCAAACUGGAAUUGAAUGAACACCCGACACGAACUAUUUUCAACAUUAAAAAUUAAACAAAUAUAUUGACUACAACUAAUUGAGGCCAAAAUUUAGUUAUAGAAAGAUCAGGGUGAGAUGCCAAACAACUAUAAAUGAAAAAUAUAAGGUCUAGUAUAUAUUACCACAUAAGCCCGAUUCAAUUCUCCAACAACACUCUCACCAUCCUCAAGACUGGAAUAAUAAUAACAACAAUAUUUAAGUAUAUAUCUAUAAACUCUAUAAAGGAAGAGUUUUUGCACCUUGGGGUAAAUAUGUCAAUGAAUAUAUAAUUUUAAAGAUUAUGAAGCUUGACCAUGGAUAUUUUCGUAAAAAUGUCUUUUAUUUCACUUGGAUUGAAUCUCAGCCAUUUAUUCACAAUAAAUUAUUAGUUACGGGGAUCAAAUCUAUAUCGUUGAAAUCCUCCAUAAAUCGUUUGCGUUUCUCAAUUUUCAUCCGUUUUCAUAAUUUAGAAAGGUUUCUCUCUGAAGUCUGAACGUUCAAGUUUCUAGCUGUGCUCCGUUUCACUUCCCUUUUCCUUCCCAUCUUCCCAUUCGACGGUUCCCAAAAUCUACCACGUCAAAAAGAGAGAGAGAGAGAGAGAGAGAGAGAGAGAGAGAGAGAGAGAGAGAGAGAGAGAGAGGAGGAUGAGAUUGGAGGCGACAGACGUUGAGCGGCCACCGUCAGCGGUAGAAGAGAGCACCAGUGAGGCCAAGCCUCUUGGCGGAGGUGAAGGAGGCGACGUGGAAGACUCGGAGGAGGUUCGUAGGUUGUGGUGUUGCUGUGGCUUGGGGUUCGUGUUGUGUGGCGCUUCAUUCCCUUUUCCUUCUCUUUGCUGAUUCUUCCAUCUCCAAACGCAGGUUCUCCUUUUCUUAAAUUUCAGUUGUUAUGUUUUGUAUUUUUCAUCUUCUGGGCUUCGUGCAGGCGGUGGUGCUGCGAUCUGCUCUUCUUCCUUCCCUUCUCUUUCCUGAUUCUUCAUCUCCCAGCCCAGACGGUGGUGAAAUGAUCUGGGAUUUAGGGUGUCGCUUUGCAUCACCUCCAUAGGUCCGCCGCUCUUUCGAUCAUCAGGAUUUGGUCAGGACAUUCUUUCUUCCAAGAUUAUGGUGGCUUCUACACAACCUUGAUGCUGGUCUGGAUUCAGGCUUGCUGAUCCCUUGGCCUAUGGAAUUGUCAAUCCUUUCUUUCUUUGGCUUAAUAUUAGCAUCCAUGUUUGCUAAUGAGAUUUAGAUUUGGCUACCCUGCUAUACUCUUAUCAUUCUUGGUUUCUUUGCUUUUCUUCAUUAUGAUUUUUCCCCUGCUAUUAAGGAUACUUUAUCAUUGCCCCAAUGUGCUUACUUUGCUUCUAUUCAAAUAUGCUAUUAGCCCACUUUAAACAAUAACCUUUUGUAGUUAGCUUCAAUAUGUAAAGCUGCAUAUUCCUUACACACUAUCAAGCAUAUUUUCAAUGGUGACACUUAUAGCAGGUUCUCUACUUUUGGCUGAAUGGCCAACACGAAGCAGUAGGUUGGAGGGGAAUUUGGAUCCUUGGUGGUUGAUAUUAUUGCAAGUUUCCUCAGGUGCAUGACUCUUUGGUCAACUGACCUCUUAUUUUCUUACUAGUAUUUUUUACCCGUGCGAUGCACGGGGAUAUUCAUUUUUUUAUUGCGUAAAAUUUUAAAAUAUGUGUUAUUGUUGUUAUAUGUAUUAAAAGAUAAUGGACAUUAAUAUUAAUAUCACACACACCUAUCAUUAUCAUCCCCCAAUGUGUACACACUUUAAAGUGUGUUACAUUCUCACUACCGCUACACAUUAGGGUGGUUGGUGUUAAUAAGGGUGUGUGUAGUAUUUUUAACAAUGGCCAAAGAUAAUUUAUGGAUUAAUAAAGGAUAAAAUUUAAUUUUAGAUGUAAGAAAAUAUUAGUUUGUAAGUAUUUUUAUCAUGAUAAAUGUGUUUGUUUUUAUCUUGCAAAAAAAAACUAUUUUAUAAACAUGUAAAAAGAAAUCUAAGAAAUAAAAGGGAGUUAAAAAAAGGAGAGAAAAAAUGAAAAUACAUGAGAGUAUUAAGCUAGGAAAAUUAUGGGAGGUAAAUUUGAUGUGCAUUUAGGUAAUUUUCAUAUAGAUUUUUAUUUUUUGUUUCAUGUGGAAUGGAAGUAACUUUCCCAUAUGAGAGAUAACCUCACAUGAUAUGAAUGUUCUCUACUCGAACAUGAUUUCCUUCAAAGAAAGACGUCUUACCCAAAAAGAAAGUAAUUUUCAUUUUUUUUGAGGUAACAGUAGUUUUCAUAUAGAAUAAUUGUUGAUUGAGCACAAAAACAUAAAAAAAUGGAAAACAUAAACAUAUUUUGACUCAGGAAGUUUUAAUUCAAAUCCUAGUAUUGUGACCCGUGAAAUACACGGAGAUAUUCAUUAUUGUUUAUAAUGUGUAUUUUUUCAUAUUCUUGGUUAUUUUUAUAGAUUUACGAAAAGAAGAAUCAUGAAUUAAAAGAAUAAAAUUCAUUUUAAAUAUAGAAAUUGUUGAAUCUGCUUCACACCGGUGCUGUCUUGCCUGAUUUGGGAGUUUAUGCAUCUUGAAGUUAUGGCGGAUUUGUUUUGCAUUUUUUUAAGCCAAGAAAAGGUUUUUACUUAGAUAUCCAGAUAACUUUACUAUGGAGUAUGUAUAUGAAUCUCACAUAGAAAAGAAGAGCUUACCUAGAACAAAUUGUCGCCCUUGACUGGCUAAAUCCCAAAAUUUGUUGUACACUUGGUGUUUUCAUCAUUGCACCUUAAAUUGCUCUAUGUUGCAAGGUCUUCAGAACUUACACAUAAACUACUUAACGCUCAAUUUCUAGUAUGCUUCCAUCAAACAUGGUUCCUUUCAACUGUGUACCCAAUCUCAAACUUCAUCAUCAACAUCCCAAGUUUUUGGUCUUACACAAAUGAUCUUGCAAACUAUAUAUUUGUGGUCAUCCCAAGUUUUUGGUCUUACAUAGAUGAUCUUGCAAACUAUACAUAUA